UCAACCACUGCGCCACCAGGGAAUUUUGAAGUCAAGUUGGUAGACGGCGAAAGGCAUCCCCAGGAGCCACUUGUGAGGAUGCACUGGCAGAGAAGCCUAGCUUGCUGUCCAGCCUGCCACUUGCCGAGCCCCAGAACCGACAGCCGCGUGAGGACACACCUCAGGGCAUGAGGUGCUGAGUUAAGAGAUGACGGCAUAUUAUAUCAUCUUCCUGGGGUGCUCUCAGGCUCUGAGGGUCAGAAUUCUCAAGACACAGCUUGGAGAAAACUGUAGAAGGGACUAAACUCUCACUCCCUUUCGAAACCAGAUUCCUCAAGGAUCGUCCUACUCAGUGGUUUCCUCAAACAAAAGCACUUUAAUAGGUGGUCGAGGAAGACAGUGUAGCCUAUUCAAGACAGCCAUCCACCACAGUUACAGAAAAGCAGCGGUGAGGGCUGCUUCUGACUC